GUUAUCACUUCAGCAGCACAUAUACUAACACUGGAACAAUACAGAGAAAAUUAACAUGGCUACUGCACAAGGAUGACAUGCAAAUUCAUGAAGUGUUCCAUAUAAAU
ensembl:snRNA U6 U6 spliceosomal RNA